CCUGGUUGAUCCUGCCAGUAGUCCACGCUUGUCUAAAAGAUUAAGCCAUGCAAGUCUAAGUAUAAGCAAUCUAUACCGCGAAACUGCGAACGGCUCAUUAAAUCAGUUGGAAUCUACUCGAUGGUCUUCUCUACAUGGAUACCUGUGGAAAAUCUAGAGCUAAUACAUGCACAAAAGCCCCGUCAGGGGUGUAUUUAUUAGAUAAAAGCCAGCGCCUUCGGGCCACGGUGAAUCAUAAUAACUGUUCGAAUCGCAUGGCCUUGCGCCGGCGAUGCUUCGAUCGACCAUCUGCCCUAUCAACUUUCGAUGGUAGGAUAGGGGCCUACCAUGGUGACGACGGGUAACGGGGAAUAAGGGUUCGAUUCCGGAGAGAGAGCCUUAGAAACGGCUCUCAGGUUUAAGGACUGCAGCAGGCGCGCAAAUUACCCAAUCCCGACUCGGGGAGGUAGUGACAAGAAAUAACAAUGCAGGGCCCCUUGUGGGUCUUGCAAUUGGAAUGAGAGCGACGUAAAUCCACCAUCGAGGAUCCACUAGAGGGCAAGUCUGGUGCCAGCAGCCGCGGUAAUUCCAGCUCUAGUAGCGUGCAUUAAAAUUGCUGCCGUUAAAACGCUCGUAGUCGCACUACAGCGCAUAGGCGGCCGGUCCACUCUCUGAGUGCGUACUGGACCCGUUUGGCGCUUUAAUCCUGGUUGCCGUUCGUGUCGUUUACUCGGCGCGGGCGGUGGACCAGGGACCCUACCUUGAAAAAAUCAGAGUGUUCAAAGCAGGCUUAUUCGCCCGAAUACAUUAGCAUGGAAUAAUCGAAUAGGACGCGCGGUCCUGUUUGUGUUGGCUUCAAGACCGCCGUAAUGAUGAAUAGGGGCAGUUGGGGGCUUUUGUAUUCGAACGUCAGAGGUGAAAUUCUUGGAUUGUUCGAAGACAAACUACUGCGAAAGCAUUAGCCAAGGAUGCUUUCAUUGAUCAAGAACGAAGGUGUGGGGAUCGAAAACGAUUAUUUAGUCGUUUACAAGCUUCGGCUUAGUCUGAGCGACUCAGGCAAUACUGGCAAUCUGCAGGGACUCCCGUGAAUCCACGCUGACUUGGUCGGCGCGGUGAGGGCGAUCUGCAGCGCGCAAGCGUCCAACGACUGGAUGCCGGUAGAUUGACAGUUUAAGGAACAGUCUGCUCACUCUGCGAGAGCGAGUGAUUCGAGCGUAGAUACCGUUGUAGUCCACACAGUAAACGAUGCCGACUGGGGAUCGGACAAGACUUAUUCAUGACUUGUUC
rnacentral:rRNA from 1 species